GCCUUCGUAGUGUACUGGUCAGCACGCUCGACGCGUAACCGAGAGGUCCGUGGUUCAAUUCCCGGCGAAGGCA
rnacentral:tRNA from 1 species